UAUUUUUGAGAUUCACAAAAUUUUCACAUCUAUGGAAAACAUAGCCACAAACUAAAUAAGUCACUUUCUUUUAUGGCUACAUAUUUCAAUUGAAUAAACUAAUUUGACAUGACGACUUCUUUUAUAAUUAUUUUGUUUAUAGUUUUUUCUUAAGUACCAUUAUCGGAUUUUUUAAAUUGCAUGAAAUUUAUUUUAUUCUAUUCACACAAAAUUUGAAUUUUCGAUAAAUUAUUUUGAUACUAUUCCACAUUUUAAUUAGUUGACGACCACAUAAAUGCAAACUCGAUCAGUCAAUAUUUUAUGAAAAAUUUUCAAGUAUAUUUUCGGGCAAACUCAGCUAAGCUGCUUCAACUUUUACUUUAGUACAAAUUUUUUUCGUGAGGCCUUCACAACAAUACGAAGAGAACUGCAGCAAAAACUGGCGUACGUCCUAUUAUCAAACUUUAAAAAAAUACAAACAAAACACAUAAACUAAGUGCAGGUGUUUCCAUAGUUUAAAAAAAAUAUGGAACCAAAACUUCUGUUAUUCAUCAAGAACUAAUAUUGGAACAAUGUUUUGAAAAAUGCUUCCGCUUCAAAAACAGACUUUUCCUGCCUGCCAAAACAACGAAUUGAAAAACAGCAACUGGUGUUGUAAUUUCGUAUCACAACAAAAUGUAUCUUAGGUGGAAUCAGGUUUCUAACCUCAAGUUUUAACAAAUGGGUUUAAAACCGCUAACUGACAUGGACAAUAUCAACAGAAGAGGGUUUUAAGCAAAACUUACGCUAAAUGAAUUCCAAACCAGAGAAUUUAGUCGUAAUUCCUGCACCGUCAGCAGGAACUUCAUCUUGUCAUCGUAGUAGCUACUAAUUGCCCAUACAUUCCGAAAUCACUGCAUAGAAAACAGUAUGGUGCGUCAGAAAAUCAUCUUAAUCAAUGUCAUAUUAUUUACAUGAGCAAACCGUUCACAGAUAACAUCAUUUAACAUAUUAAUAACGCAUUCACUUUGAUUGAGAUAGUUUUCCAUCGCACAAUUAAUUCUAGUUAUAAUAUGUAAUGUGAUAAUAAUUUUAUUAUGUGCAAGGAGUGUUGUAAAUGGUUGGUCCAAUGUGUAAUUUAUUUCGUCUGUGUGUGUCUUUUUUUGUCAGGAUCGCUCAACGGAUGCAGCAUUCAUGUCUAACAAAUGGCAACGCUAGAUUCACUGUUCACGCAUUCAGGACGCGUUUUUGUAUUUGCAUCUGUUCGACGCUUAGAGUACAAAAUAUUCAAAAAUUUUAAAUUGUCAAGUGCCAUGAUACCUUUUAACGACUUAUGCUCAGAAUUAGCAAGAAACGACGUCACGGCUGUUUUCCAUCGUCGAAUAUUUUUCUCACCAUAUAGAUCCACUCAGGUUGCAUAACUAAAAUGAACAUUUUGUACCAAAUCGUGGUUCUCUUGGAGCGUCGAAAUGGCUUGUGGUUUAAGUUUGUUCAUACUGUUUUAAACAUUUCACAACGAUUUUCCAUUAACAUCCUCUUUUGACAAACUGACAAAGUUUGUUUCAGAGAGGAAGCGGGAAAUUUACUGUGACCAAAUACUGAAAAUGCUACAAGCAUAGCAACUACGAAACUUUUUUUUUCUUGAAAAUUGGUACACAGAUGAAAAAACACUUAACAAAACCAAAGCACAUAAUUGAAGUAGCUUUUGAUUUGAGAAUAGUUGUUGAUAGAAUAUGUAAAAAUCUGAAUUGGAACAAAAAUACCGAAGACGGACUGCAACCUUGUCGUAUUUUCUGACUUAAUUAUAGCUUUUUCAGUUUAUUAAAAAAAGUAUCAUGACAUGUGAAAGAUAUUUUUAUUUUGUACUUGAGAUAUGUACAUAUAUUGUAGUUUAUAAGUUUAUUACUAGUAACAUAACGGUGAUUACUAAUAAGGACUUCAACAAAGCUAUCUAUCUAAAACAGUGGUUCGCAAACUUUUAUUAUUGAUGGCACCCUAAAAUAUUAAACAAAAUUUGGCUGCACCCCUCCAAGAACAGUUUUAAUUGUAACUAAUUUAUUAUCAAAAACACUUUAUCACAUGAUUGUAUAAUAUGUAAUUGAUGUUAAGAUUGUUUUAUAAAUAUUUGUUUUCCAUAA